rnacentral:lncRNA from 1 species
AUCGAACAAAAUUCAUUGGAGAAUGGCCGGCAUCGGACCACCUGCGAGGCAUCAGUGACAAUCUUCAUGGUGGAGGCUUUUGGGUUUCAGACUUUGGAGAGAAGAAACGAUACAGGAUACUGGUGGCCUAGAAGUCGAGAGAAAUGAGGACGGAGCAUGGCCGGAGAGACGAUGAGGCUCGUCGGAGAAGAAGGAGUGGACCAGAAGGUUCUAG